rnacentral:rRNA from 1 species
ACCCGCUGAACUUAAGCAUAUCAAUAAGCGGAGGAAAAGAAACCAACAGGGAUUGCCUUAGUAACGGCGAGUGAAGCGGCAAAAGCUCAAAUUUGAAAUCGGCCACCAGGUCGAGUUGUAAUUUGUAGAUUGUAUCUUGAGAGCGGAUUAAAGUCUGUUGGAACACAGCGCCUUAGAGGGUGACAGCCCCGUAAAAUCUAUUCUCAUUGUAAGAUACUUUCGAAGAGUCGAGUUGUUUGGGAAUGCAGCUCUAAGUGGGAGGUAAAUUCCUUCUAAAGCUAAAUAUUGACGAGAGACCGAUAGCGAACAAGUACUGUGAAGGAAAGAUGAAAAGCACUUUGAAAAGAGAGUGAAAAAGUACGUGAAAUUGUUAAAAGGGAAGGGUAUUGAAUCAGACUUGGUGCUGUUGUUCAACUGUGUUUCGGCAUAGUGUACUCAGCAGUACUAGGCCAAGGUGGGGUGUUUGGGAGUGAAAAAGAAGUAGGAACGUAACUCUUCGGAGUGUUAUAGCCUACUUUCAUAGCUCCUCAGGCGCCUCAGGACUGCGCUUCGGCAAGGACCUUGGCAUAAUGAUUCUAUACCGCCCGUCUUGAAACCGGACCAAGGAG